rnacentral:rRNA from 1 species
UACGGAGGGGGCUAGCGUUGUUCGGAAUUACUGGGCGUAAAGCGCACGUAGGCGGCUUUGUAAGUUAGAGGUGAAAGCCCAGGGCUCAACCCUGGAAUUGCCUUUAAGACUGCAUCGCUUGAACAUCGGAGAGGUAAGUGGAAUUCCGAGUGUAGAGGUGAAAUUCGUAGAUAUUCGGAAGAACACCAGUGGCGGAGGCGGCUUACUGGACGAUUGUUGACGCUGAGGUGCGAAAGCGUGGGGAGCAAACAGG